CCUACGGGUGGCAGCAGUGAGGAAUAUUGGUCAAUGGACGCAAGUCUGAACCAGCCAUACCGCGUGCAGGAAGACGGCUCUAUGAGUUGUAAACUGCUUUUGUAGGGGGGUAAACGCAGAUACGUGUUUCUGUCUGCAAGUAUCCUACGAAUAAGGAUCGGCUAACUCCGUGCCAGCAGCCGCGGUAAUACGGAGGAUUCAAGCGUUAUCCGGAUUUAUUGGGUUUAAAGGGUGCGUAGGUGGUUGGAUAAGUUAGAGGUGAACGCCUGUGGCUCAACUUUGGAAUUGCCUAUGAAACUGGUAGGCUAGAGAGUAGUUGCGGUAGGCGGAAUGUAUGGUGUAGCGGUGAAAUGCUUAGAGAUCAUGCAGAACACCGAUUGCGAAGGCAGCUUACCAAGCUACAACUGACGUUGAGGCACGAAAGCGUGGGGAGCAAACAGGAUUAGAUACCCCUGUAGUC
rnacentral:rRNA from 1 species